GGUGAAUGUGUGUAUUUUAUAGGUGAAUGUGUGUAUUUUAUAGGGGAAUGUGUGUAUUUAAUAGGGGAAUGUGUGUAUUUUAUAGGUGAAUGUGUGUAUUUUAUAGGUGAAUGUGUGUAUUUUAUAGGUGAAUGUGUGUAUUUCAUAGGUGAAUGUGUGUAUGGUGAAUGUGUGUAUGGUGAAUGUGUGUAUUUUAUAGGUGAAUGUGUGUAUUUUAUAGGUGAAUGUGUGUAUUUUAUAGGUGAAUGUGUGUAUGGUGAAUGUGUGUAUUUUAUAGGUGAAUGUGUGUAUUUUAUAGGUGAAUGUGUGUAUGGUGAAUGUGUGUAUUUUAUAGGUGAAUGUGUGUAUUUUAUAGGUGAAUGUGUGUAUGGUGAAUGUGUGUAUGGUGAAUGUGUGUAUGGUGAAUGUGUGUAUUUUAUAGGUGAAUGUGUGUAUUUUAUAGGUGAAUGUGUGUAUUUUAUAGGUGAAUGUGUGUAUUUUAUAGGUGAAUGUGUGUAUUUUAUAGGUGAAUGUGUGUAUUUUAUAGGUGAAUGUGUGUAUGGUGAAUGUGUGUAUUUUAUAGGUGAAUGUGUGUAUUUUAUAGGUGAAUGUGUGUAUGGUGAAUGUGUGUAUGGUGAAUGUGUGUAUGGUGAAUGUGUGUAUUUUAUAGGUGAAUGUGUGUAUUUUAUAGGUGAAUGUGUGUAUUUUAUAGGUGAAUGUCUGUAUGGGGAAUGUGUGUAUUUUAUAGGGGAAUGUGUGUAUUUUAUAGGUGAAUGUGUGUAUGGUGAAUGUGUGUAUGGUGAAUGUGUGUAUUUUAUAGGGGAAUGUGUGUAUUUUAUAGGGGAAUGUGUGUAUUUUAUAGGUGAAUGUGUGUAUUUUAUAGGUGAAUGUCUGUAUGGGGAAUGUGUGUAUUUUAUAGGGGAAUGUGUGUAUUUUAUAGGUGAAUGUGUGUAUGGUGAAUGUGUGUAUGGUGAAUGUGUGUAUUUUAUAGGUGAAUGUGUGUAUUUUAUAGGUGAAUGUGUGUAUUUUAUAGGUGAAUGUCUGUAUGGGGAAUGUGUGUAUUUUAUAGGGGAAUGUGUGUA
rnacentral:lncRNA from 1 species